rnacentral:rRNA from 1 species
UACGGGGGGUGCGAGCGUUGUCCGGAAUCACUGGGCGUAAAGGGCGCGUAGGUGGCCUGAUAAGGGUGUGGUGAAAGUCCGGGGCUCAACCCCGGAUCUGCCGUGCCGACUGUUGGGCUGGAGUACUGUAGGGGCAGGCGGAAUUCCGGGUGUAGCGGUGGAAUGCGUAGAGAUCCGGAGGAAGACCGGUGGCGAAGGCGGCCUGCUGGGCAGUUACUGACACUGAGGCGCGACAGCAUGGGGAGCAAACAGG